rnacentral:rRNA from 1 species
GACGAACGCUGGCGGUGUGCUUAACACAUGCAAGUCGAACGGUAAGGCCCUUUCGGGGGUACACGAGUGGCGAACGGGUGAGUAACACGUGAGUAACCUGCCCUCAUCUCUGGGAUAACAGUCGGAAACGGUUGCUAAUACUGGAUAUGAGCCUGCAAGGCAUCUUGUGGGUUGGAAAGAUUUUUUGGUUGGGGAUGGACUCGCGGCCUAUCAGCUUGUUGGUGAGGUAGUGGCUCACCAAGGCUUCGACGGGUAGCCGGUCUGAGAGGGCGACCGGCCACAUUGGGACUGAGAUACGGCCCAAACUCCUACGGGAGGCAGCAGUGGGGAAUAUUGCACAAUGGACGGAAGUCUGAUGCAGCAACGCCGCGUGCGGGAUGACGGCCUUCGGGUUGUAAACCGCUUUCAAUUGUGACGAAGCUUUUGUGACGGUAGCAGUAGAAGAAGCACCGGCUAACUACGUG